rnacentral:lncRNA from 1 species
CCUGCCCAGAGGCCUCCACAGGAGGAGCCUGCAGGGCGCGGGCCACCCCCAGGCUGAACUGCUCUCUCACACGACCGCCUUCUCCUCCUCCCUCUGCUUUCCUCUGUCCUCCAUCCUCCUCUGCACAGGAAGCCUCUCCAGGCCUGAAGGCAGAGUUGCUGGAGCUGUUGCUUGAUUAGGGCCAUGGCCCCCAUUCCCUGGCCAGGGGAAUUCUCUCUCCUCUCCCAGUUUUUCUCACUAGCAGCUACUUUCCACAACAGACGCUGGCAGCCCCCAUGCUCACCCACAGCCGCAGCAGCCAACAGGCAAGCGCAUGC